rnacentral:rRNA from 1 species
UGGGGAAUAUUGGGCAAUGGGGGAAACCCUGACCCAGCAACGCCGCGUGAAGGAAGAAGGCUUUCGGUAUGUAAAGAUCUAUCAGCAAGGAAGAAAAUGACGGUACUUGACUAAGAAGCCCCGGCUAACUACGUGCCAGCAGCCGCGGUAAUACGUAGGGGGCAAGCGUUAUCCGGAUUUACUGGGUGUAAAGGGAGCGUAGGCGGUCUGGCAAGCCAGAAGUGAAAGCCCGGGGCUUAACCCCGGGACUGCUUUUGGAACUGUUAGACUAGAGUGUCGGAGAGGUAAGUGGAAUUCCUAGUGUAGCGGUGAAAUGCGUAGAUAUUAGGAGGAACACCAGUGGCGAAGGCGGCUUACUGGACGAUAACUGACGCUGAGGCUCGAAAGCGUGGGGAGCAAACAGGAUUAGAUACCCUGGUAGU